rnacentral:hammerhead_ribozyme from 1 species
AUCCAGCUGACAAGUCUCAACUAAGACGAAACACAUGUCCUGGAU